AUGAACGCUAGCUACAGGCUUAACACAUGCAAGUCGAGGGGCAGCAUGGUCUUAGCUUGCUAAGGCCGAUGGCGACCGGCGCACGGGUGAGUAACACGUAUCCAACCUGCCGUCUACUCUUGGACAGCCUUCUGAAAGGAAGAUUAAUACAAGAUGGCAUCAUGAGUCCGCAUGUUCACAUGAUUAAAGGUAUUCCGGUAGACGAUGGGGAUGCGUUCCAUUAGAUAGUAGGCGGGGUAACGGCCCACCUAGUCUUCGAUGGAUAGGGGUUCUGAGAGGAAGGUCCCCCACAUUGGAACUGAGACACGGUCCAAACUCCUACGGGAGGCAGCAGUGAGGAAUAUUGGUCAAUGGGCGAGAGCCUGAACCAGCCAAGUAGCGUGAAGGAUGACUGCCCUAUGGGUUGUAAACUUCUUUUAUAAAGGAAUAAAGUCGGGUAUGUAUACCCGUUUGCAUGUACUUUAUGAAUAAGGAUCGGCUAACUCCGUGCCAGCAGCCGCGGUAAUACGGAGGAUCCGAGCGUUAUCCGGAUUUAUUGGGUUUAAAGGGAGCGUAGAUGGAUGUUUAAGUCAGUUGUGAAAGUUUGCGGCUCAACCGUAAAAUUGCAGUUGAUACUGGAUAUCUUGAGUGCAGUUGAGGCAGGCGGAAUUCGUGGUGUAGCGGUGAAAUGCUUAGAUAUCACGAAGAACUCCGAUUGCGAAGGCAGCCUGCUAAGCUGCAACUGACAUUGAGGCUCGAAAGUGUGGGUAUCAAACAGGAUUAGAUACCCUGGUAGUCCACACGGUAAACGAUGAAUACUCGCUGUUUGCGAUAUACUGCAAGCGGCCAAGCGAAAGCGUUAAGUAUUCCACCUGGGGAGUACGCCGGCAACGGUGAAACUCAAAGGAAUUGACGGGGGCCCGCACAAGCGGUGGAGCAUGUGGUUUAAUUCGAAGCAACGCGAAGAACCUUACCAGGUCUUGACAUCGAUCUAAAGGCUCCAGAGAUGGAGAGAUAGCUAUAGAGAAGACAGGUGGUGCAUGGUUGUCGUCAGCUCGUGUCGUGAGAUGUUGGGUUAAGUCCCGCAACGAGCGCAACCCUUAUGGUCAGUUACUACGCAAGAGGACUCUGGCCAGACUGCCGUUGACAAAACGGAGGAAGGUGGGGAUGACGUCAAAUCAGCACGGCCCUUACGUCCGGGGCUACACACGUGUUACAAUGGUCGGUACAGAGGGUCGCUACCCCGUGAGGGGAUGCCAAUCUCGAAAGCCGAUCUCAGUUCGGAUUGGAGGCUGAAACUCGCCUCCAUGAAGUUGGAUUCGCUAGUAAUCGCGCAUCAGCCACGGCGCGGUGAAUACGUUCCCGGGCCUUGUACACACCGCCCGUCAAGCCAUGGGAGCCGGGGGUACCUGAAGUGCGUAACCGCGAGGAGCGCCCUAGGGUAAAACUGGUGACUGGGGCU
rnacentral:rRNA from 1 species